rnacentral:rRNA from 1 species
AACGAACGCUGGCGGCAUGCCUAACACAUGCGAGUCGAACGAGACCUUCUGGUCUAGUGGCGCACGGGUGCGUAACGCGUGGGAACCUGCCCUUAGGUUCGGAAUAACUCCCCGAAAGGGGUGCUAAUACCGGAUAAUGUCUUCGGACCAAAGAUUUAUCGCCUUUGGAUGGGCCCGCGUUGGAUUAGCUAGUUGGUAGGGUAAAAGCCUACCAAGGCGACGAUCCAUAGCUGGUCUGAGAGGAUGAUCAGCCACACUGGGACUGAGACACGGCCCAGACUCCUACGGGAGGCAGCAGUGGGGAAUAUUGGACAAUGGGCGAAAGCCUGAUCCAGCAAUGCCGCGUGAGUGAUGAAGGCCUUAGGGUUGUAAAGCUCUUUUACCCGGGAUGAUAAUGACAGUACCGGGAGAAUAAGCUCCGGCUAACUCCGUG